rnacentral:tRNA from 1 species
UGUCCAGGAAUGGGAAUCGAACCCACAGUAUUCCGAUUACCGGGCAGAUGCCAUGUCCACUAGGACAAUUUCCAAAU